rnacentral:rRNA from 1 species
UUUAUCGGAGAGUUUGAUCCUGGCUCAGGACGAACGCUGGCGGCGUGCCUAAUACAUGCAAGUCGAGCGGACAGAUGGGAGCUUGCUCCCUGAUGUUAGCGGCGGACGGGUGAGUAACACGUGGGUAACCUGCCUGUAAGACUGGGAUAACUCCGGGAAACCGGGGCUAAUACCGGAUGGUUGUUUGAACCGCAUGGUUCAGACAUAAAAGGUGGCUUCGGCUACCACUUACAGAUGGACCCGCGGCGCAUUAGCUAGUUGGUGAGGUAACGGCUCACCAAGGCGACGAUGCGUAGCCGACCUGAGAGGGUGAUCGGCCACACUGGGACUGAGACACGGCCCAGACUCCUACGGGAGGCAGCAGUAGGGAAUCUUCCGCAAUGGACGAAAGUCUGACGGAGCAACGCCGCGUGAGUGAUGAAGGUUUUCGGAUCGUAAAGCUCUGUUGUUAGGGAAGAACAAGUGCCGUUCAAAUAGGGCGGCACCUUGACGGUACCUAACCAGAAAGCCACGGCUAACUACGUGCCAGCAGCCGCGGUAAUACGUAGGUGGCAAGCGUUGUCCGGAAUUAUUGGGCGUAAAGGGCUCGCAGGCGGUUUC